AGAAUCAACGCUGGCGGCGUGCCUAACACAUGCAAGUCGCACGAGAAAGGGACUUCGGUCCUGAGUAAAGUGGCGCACGGGUGAGUAACACGUGAAUCAUCUACCUCCGAAUGGGGAAUAACUGAGAGAAAUCUUAGCUAAUACCGCAUAAUACCUACGGGUCAAAGCAGCAAUGCGUUUGGAGAGGAGUUCGCGGUCGAUUAGUUAGUUGGCGGGGUAAUGGCCCACCAAGACGAUGAUCGAUAUCCGGCCUGAGAGGGCGCACGGACACACUGGAACUGAAACACGGUCCAGACUCCUACGGGAGGCAGCAGUGGGGAAUUUUGCGCAAUGGGGGAAACCCUGACGCAGCAACGCCGCGUGGAGGAUGGAAAUAUCUUGGUAUGUAAACUCCUUUCGAUGGGGAAGAUAAUGACGGUACCCAUAGAAGAAGCCCCGGCUAACUUCGCGCCAGCAGCCGC
rnacentral:rRNA from 1 species